UUAUUGGGCGUAAGAGCUCGUAGGCGGUUUGUCGCGUCUGCUGUGAAAUCCCGAGGCUCAACCUCGGGCCUGCAGUGGGUACGGGCAGACUAGAGUGCGGUAGGGGAGAUUGGAAUUCCUGGUGUAGCGGUGGAAUGCGCAGAUAUCAGGAGGAACACCGAUGGCGAAGGCAGAUCUCUGGGCCGUAACUGACGCUGAGGAGCGAAAGGGUGGGGAGCAAACAGGCUUAGAUACCCUGGUAGUCCACCCCGUAAACGUUGGGAACUAGUUGUGGGGUCCAUUCCACGGAUUCCGUGACGCAGCUAACGCAUUAAGUUCCCCGCCUGGGGAGUACGGCCGCAAGGCUAAAACUCAAAGGAAUUGACGGGGACCCGCACAAGCGGCGGAGCAUGCGGAUUAAUUCGAUGCAACGCGAAGAACCUUACCAAGGCUUGACAUAUACGAGAACGGGCCAGAAAUGGUCAACUCUUUGGACACUCGUAAACAGGUGGUGCAUGGUUGUCGUCAGCUCGUGUCGUGAGAUGUUGGGUUAAGUCCCGCAACGAGCGCAACCCUCGUUCUAUGUUGCCAGCACGUAAUGGUGGGAACUCAUGGGAUACUGCCGGGGUCAACUCGGAGGAAGGUGGGGAUGACGUCAAAUCAUCAUGCCCCUUAUGUCUUGGGCUUCACGCAUGCUACAAUGGCCGGUACAAAGGGCUGCAAUACCGUGAGGUGGAGCGAAUCCCAAAAAGCCGGUCCCAGUUCGGAUUGAGGUCUGCAACUCGACCUCAUGAAGUCGGAGUCGCUAGUAAUCGCAGAUCAGCAACGCUGCGGUGAAUACGUUCCCGGGUCUUGUACACACCGCCCGUCAAGUCAUGAAAGUCGGUAACACCUGAAGCCGGUGGCCUAACCCUUGUGGAGGGAGCCGUCGAAUGUGGGAUCGGUAAUUAGGACGAAGUCGA
rnacentral:rRNA from 1 species